GCACAAUGGCCAACGGUUUUCAAAACAUAUUGGGUUGUCCGUAAAGUUCGUGCCGAUUUUUAAAGGAAAGAAAAAGGUCAAUAAAUACUUGCCAUUACAUUUUUAAUCAACUAGAUAUGAACCAUUUUGUUACACAAUGCGUCUCCAUCUUUCCCUUAACUUGAAAAAACCCUCUUCCCAGAAUGGAGGUGGUUUCAUGGCAAAGAAUUCAUCAAGGUAUCUUUUUACGCCAUCCAAGUAACUGAAAUUUUUACCAUUAAGACUACUCUGCAGAGACCCGAAUAAGUGGAAAUCCGAA